rnacentral:misc_RNA from 1 species
GGUGUGCAGUCGCUCGAGAUUCCCGAGCUUUGCGUUAUUAGUCGCGUUUAAACCGUCGUUCCGAGUUGUUGUAGCAGGGUACGCCGGAAUAUAUAAAUUGAUGACCGCAUUAAUAAUAAUAAAAAUAAAAUUGUGAAUAACUUUCAUAUAUAUCCCGAAUAAUACGCGUUUUAAUUAAAAAAAGUGUAAUAAAAUGUGCGACCAGAAUUCUGCCUCGACGCAGAGCAUCGCCGACUACCUGGCUCAGUUAUUGAAAGACAGGAAGCAACUGGCCGCUUUUCCCAAUGUGUUUCUACAUGUAGAACGACUUCUGGAUGAAGAAAUUGCCCGAGUGAGAGCGAGUCUGUUUCAAAUAAAUGGAGUAAAAAAGGAGCCCCUAGUGUUACCCGAGCCGGACGGACAAGUGACGACACUCACAGAAAAAGUAUAUGUACCGGUCAAAGAACAUCCAGAUUUCAAUUUCGUGGGAAGGAUCCUCGGGCCCAGAGGCAUGACCGCCAAGCAAUUAGAACAAGAAACCGGCUGUAAAAUCAUGGUGCGAGGGAAGGGCAGCAUGAGGGACAAAAAGAAGGAGGAUCAGAACAGGGGCAAACCGAACUGGGAACAUUUGUCCGAUGAACUUCACGUCUUAUUAACGGUUGAAGAUACGGAGAAUAGGGCGCAAUUGAAACUACACAGGGCGGUCGAGGAAGUCAGAAAAUUACUUGUACCACAAGCAGAGGGCGAAGACGAACUGAAAAAGCGACAGCUAAUGGAACUGGCCAUCAUAAACGGCACCUACAGGGAUUCCAGCUCGAAGGCCGCAUCGGCAACAGUCUUCACUGACGUAGAUCUCUCGACUCUUGCAGCGGCCGACGAGGAGUGGAGGCGAGUGGCGGCUGCGGCCGUCGAAACCCAACGGCUGCUCUCCCCCGGGAUGCCGGGACUCGCCACUUCCCUUAGGGCCCCUAAUGGACCCUUGGGGGCCCCACUCAUCCUUAGCCCCCGCAUGUCCGUACCCACCACCGCCGCUAGCAUAUUGAACGGAUCGGCACCCCAUGGAUCUCUGCUGUCUCCCGGGGAUCCACACGGGUUGAUUUACGCCCCCUAUGCGGACUACACCAACUACACCGCCUUGGCUGCCAGCCCUUUAUUGACCGAGUACACCACUGCGGAUCAUUCGGGUGGGUUAUUCGCGCGUUGACUCGCGUCCCCAAUUUUUAUGUGUUCCACGAGACAGCAACAGGGGGCGCCCUAUUGUUACUACUAUCCGACCGGACGGUGACUUCCGAUCCUACCGAGACUGCGCCCGAUUCAAUUUCACUUAACGGUUUGUUUAAUAAAAUUAAUGCGCGUGUGCGUUUCACGGGAAUUCGUAGGCGUAGGGUAUGAAACCGGAGUUUUCAUGUGAGGACAUAAAGUUCUUUUGAAUUAGUCGUUUUUAUGAGUAAAUAUUUAAAAUUAAAGUUUUCUUUCAGGCAGUCCCUUUCAGUCUGUCGAAUUUCUGUUUUUCAAGCAUUAUAUGUUUAUCUAAGUCAUCUUAGGCCACGUUCUUUUUCUAGAUUAUAAAAGCAUCUAUAUUGUUUCUUUUUUUUUCAGGCGGUUUAAUUCAUGCGUGCCUUAAAUUGAGACGACGAAAGUAAAAGUGGUAUCAAGUCACUUGAAUAUGUUUUUCAGAUUAAUCAAACUAAAAGCAUCAAAGAAAAAAUACUAUAUAUGCAUAAAUGUAAUAUAAAACAAUAUAAAUCGAACAAAAUCACAUACCUGAACUAGUAGUUACAGGUAAAAAAACGAUAGCAAGCAAUAAGUCCAAUAAAAAAAUGAUUUAUUCUAUAAAGUCCUUUACAGACUCUUGUUUAUAAAGCUGAAAAAAAUUAAUAAAUCUUAAUAUGCCGAUCACUCUAAAAAAAGUCCAUCUACAGAUAUAGAGUGUAAACGUAAACAAAUAUAUAAAAAUGGGAUCUUAAUUAAAACAGCAUUUCUUUCAUCAGAAAUCAUCAGGUAAAUGAUUGUAAAGGGUUAUCCAUUUUAUGCUUGGGAAAGUAAAGUUAAAUAAAACACACAAGAUAUUAUUCAGAUGGAGACGAAAUUUUUAUUUUGUUUUAAAGAUUGAAUCAUUCCAUUAUAAUUAUGUGAAACACAAUAUCAUUUAAAUGUUCACCGCGGGACCUCUGACAAACUUCAAUCCUUUUAAGACAAUUUCAAUCACUUUUCGGCACAUUUCAGGUGUGGAAUGUUGGCUUUAAGUUGUUGAAGAGUUUGAGGGCUAUUGGCGUAGACACGAUCUUUCGCAUAGCCCCACAAAAAAAAUCCAAAGGUGUGAGAUCACAGAAUCUUGGGGGCCAAUAGAUAGAUAUCACCUAAUCUUGAAAUUAAACGUCCUGGAAACUUCUCUUGCAAAAGAGCUCGGUUGGCCUGUGUUGUGUGACUUGUGGCCCCGUCCUGUUGGAACCACAUGUCUUCCAGAUCUUCUUCUUCGAUUUCUCUCCAAAAAUAAUUGGUCAACAUGCUUCCAUACCGCUCAGAGUUUACUGUUAAGGCUCUCCCACGAUUGUUUUCAAUAAAAUACGGACCAAUGACACCACCAGACCAUAAUGCACACCAUACAGUCGCUUUUUCGGGAUGCAAAGGCCUUUCUAUGAUCACCUGAGGAUUUUCAGAACCCCAUAUAUGCGGCGAUUCUGUUUAUUUACGUAGCCACACAGCGUAAAUGGAGCCUCAUCACUGAAGAAAAUUCUGCUCGAAAAAUGAGCAUCAGCAGCUUGUUGUUCAAGCAUCCAAUUUGCGAAUGUUCUGCGUUGUCCAUGGUCUGUAGGCUUAAGUUCUUGAGUGAGUUGGACUUGCACAACUCGCACAACUCGCCACAGUGAGCCGUAAGACAAACCCAAAUUUUGAGCACGCCAAGGAAUUGACAAAUUUGGGUCUUCCUCCACACUUUGAGCCACAGCAGUAAUAUUUUUAGCUGAACGAGCGUUACGGUGAUGCACGUGCCUUACAAUAUCAGUAACCGAUCCAGUCUCUUCAAAUUUUCUUACUGUGUUCGAAAUUGUUUGCUCUGUAGGACGAUUAUGUCGACCCUAAUCAGCUCGUAAAGCUCUAAACGUUGAUACAGGAGAAUUACCAUUCAACUAAAAAAAAAUGCUUCACACGACGUUUAUUUCUGACAGGGGUCAAACGGCAGGGUUGUACUCUUAGCCAACCUCGAAUUGGAUAACUCGCUAUAAUUGACUGGGAGGUUCUGGGGAUAAGUAAUGGAAGCCUAUAAGUUUGCCUAGUUUGCCAUAAUUAGACAAAUGCUUAACAUUGUGCUCUUAUAUUCUUAUGUAUCAGUGACACUGUUUCGAAUAUAAUCAAAGAUGGUACUAGAAAAUGUUAUUAAUCAAUAAAGAGUGGUUUACAUGAGUCUCUCACUUUGACUUUAGUCACAGACCUAAUUGCUCUUUUCUGAAAGAUAAAUACUAUUUGCAUCAGCUGAAGUUUUCAUAUUAAGUUUUUAUUAAAUUAUACAUAUACAUAUACCGAGUGCUUCAAAAGUUAAAAGGGACUUUAUGCUCUCACUGUAUAAAUUUACAUUAAAAUUUUUUGUUUAUUUCGCUUUGUUUCUCCGGUCCUACAAUACCUAAAAUGGCAAAAAAAAAUGGUAAAAACAAUAGGGUCACCCUUCUGCACCGGCAACUGAUAACAAAUAAAAAUUGGGGUUACUUUUACCGUAUUUAAUAGUCCUAAAGGAGGGUCAAAAGCCCCAUCCUCUCCGGACGACGAACUGUUGCACUUUUAUUCAACGUUUCCGUACAGUGUUUUUUUGUUAGUCGAUAAGUUUAUUAUUUUUUUUAGGUUAAUAAAAUUGAACGCGCCCUAUGCCUUAGGGCCGUUUUAAAAGAACAUUACUUAAUAAUAAUUUAGUCACAAUUUUUACAAUUUUUUUAUUAUAUUUUUCUGUGAUAAUUUCUAACCAUUCAGGUUAUUCGAACGUUACGUACUGUAUGUAAUAUUAUCAGUUUAUUUUAUUUUCAUGAUCAAAUAUUUUUAUUUUAUUUUAAUUAUGUUUGCUUUUUUUUACUUUCGUUUUAGUAUUGAAUAGCACGAAUACGCAAGUCAAGUUUUUAUAAAUUUUUUGCUUAAAUCUCUGUUUAUGUCAUAUUUUAGUGAUGGCAGGGGCGUAUUCUAGACAAAAAAAAAUUGUCGUUAUUAUUAGUUAUAGUGAGUUAAGUGCCGUUUCACUCUAAUGCUUCAUUAGUUUUCUUAUUUACAACUAUUUAGAAGAGAAUUUUUAAAUUCAUAGAUACGUUCCUGACUGAUUUUUUUUUCCUGACCAUUGACGUUAUUCGGAGAUUUUUGCGAAAAUAAUAUAAUAUGUAAUUUUUAGCCUUAAGAUGUACAUUUAUUUAUUUCUAUAGUCUUUUUUAUCGGUCCUUAUUAUGGUUAUUUUUUUAUAAUAGUUUUCAAAUUAAUUGUAUAUUUGAUAAAUGAGAAAAGAGCUAAGAACAAUGGUGCUAUUGAAUGUCGCAGUUUUACCUCAGAAAUGUGAGUAAAGAGGCGGGAAUGCUCAACUUUCUUGAUAAAUUUUAUAGAUGCUGCUUGGACCUCCUUUAUUUUCAUCAGAUAUUCAAAAAAUUUCAAAAAAGAGUGUUAAUUUUUGAAAAAGGGGGACCUAUACUGCCUGUACUCAAAUUAAAAAAAAUCUGCACAAAGUUCAAUUUUUUCUUUAUCCCCAUGUUUUUUUAGUAAAUUUAUAACUGAUAAAUCAAUGUCCUGUGAUCAAAGUUCUUAUGGUCCAUUAUGAACUAACAGUGAGUGAGUGAGAUAUUUUCUUCUCUACAAGAAAAGGUCAGUCAAAGGUCCAAGGAAAUCAACAACUUUCCAUAUAUUUAAAGGUCCUGGAAUAAUUAUUCAUUUCUUCCAGGCAGUUGAGGUCAUUUCAGGCAGUUAAAGCGACUUUUCACGUGCUCAAAGUUUUUGGAAAAAAAGUCGUUUUCUUCCGGAAAUUUGAUGGUUAAUUUCAACGAUUUCCAAGCAGGUGAAUUGAGUUUUCACGUACUCCUGAAAAAUGUUUUGUUUUUUCCAGGCACUCGGUUCAAUAUUUCAACACUUCCAUGCAGCUAAAGGAAGUUUUUAUGUGCUCCAAGUUUCCAUAAAAUUGUUUCGUUGCUUCCAGGUUAUCGGAGUAACUUUCAAAGUUUCUCCUGACAAUUAGAGUGAGUUUCCAUAUGUUUGAAGAACACGGAAUAAUUAUUUAUUUCUUCCAGGCAGUUGAGGUAAUUCUUUAACAUUUUCAGACAGUUAAUGCGACUUUUUAGGUGCUCGAAGUUUUUGGAAAAAAAUCGUUUUCUUUUAGAAAUUUAAGGUUAAAUUUUAACGUUUUCCAAGCAGAUAAAGUGAGUUUUGGUGUACUCCAAGUUACUGAAAGAUGAUUUGUUUCUCCCAGGCACUUGGUUCAAUAUUUCCAUAUUUCCAGGCAGUUAAAGGAAGUUUAUAUAUGCUCCAAGUUUCUAUAGAAUUGUUUCGUGGCUUCCAGAUUAUCGGAGUAACUUGUCGAAGUUUCUCCAGACAAUUAAAGUCAGUUUCCGGGUUUUUUCAAAAAAUGUUUUCCUUCAGAAAUUUGAGGUUAAUUUUCCAAGCAAGUGAAGUGAAUUUUCGUGUACUCCAAGUUUCUGGAAGAAUAUUUUGUUUCUUUCAGGCAUUUGAGUCAAUGUUUCAACAGUUCCAGGCAGUUAAAGCGUCUUUUGAGGGGCUCGAAAAAUUCGUUUGUUUCAGGAAUUUGAGGUUAGUUUGCCUGCAGGUGAAUUGAGUUUUCAUGUACUCUAAGUUCCUGUAUGAAUGUUUUGUUUCUUUUAGACGAUUGAAGUCACUUUUCCAGGUUCUACCAAACUGUUCUACAGCUCCUCAAAAGUAUUCAUUUCUUCUAGGUACUAGCGACAAUACUUCAACAUUUCUAGGCAGUUAAAGAACGUUUAUGUGUGCUCCAAGUUUCUAAAGAAACGUUUCGUUGCUUCCACAUUGUCGGAGUCACUUUUCCAAGUUUUUCCAUCUAAUUAAAUUGAGUUUCCGUAUGUUUCAAGGUCCUUGAAUAAUUAUUGAUUUUUUCCAGGCAGUAGAGAUCACUUUUCAACAUUUCAAGGCAGUUAAAGCGACUUUUCAGUUUCUCGAAGUUUUUGGAGAAAAAUUCGUUUCUUCCAGAAAUUUGAGGUUAAUUUUCAAGUCUUUCCAAGCAAGUGAAGUAAAUUUUCGUGUACUCCCAAGUUUCUGGAAGAAUAUUUUGUUUCUUCCAGGCAUUUGAGUCAAUGUUUCAACAGUUCCAGGCAGUUAAAGCGUCUUUUGAGGUGCUCGAAAAAUUGGUUUGUUUCGUAGGAAUUUGACGUUAGUUUGCCUGCAGGUGAAUUGAGUUUUUAUGUACUCCAAGUUCCUGUAAAAAUGUUUUGUUUCUUUCAGACGAUUGAGGCACUUUUCCAGGUUCUACCAAACUGUUCUACAGCUCCUCAAAAAUAUUCAUUUGUUCCAGGCACUAGCGACAAUACUUCAACAUUUCCAGGCAGUUAAAGAACGUUUAUAUGUGCUCCAAGUUUCUAUAGAAAUGUUUCGUUACUUCCAGGUGGUCAGAGUCACUUUUCCAAGUUUCUUCAUUCACUUAAAUUGAGUUUCCAUAUGUUUCCAACAUCCUGGAAUAAUUAUUCCAGGCAGUUGAGAUCACUUUUCAAUAUGUCCAGGCAGUUGAAGCAACUUUUCUCGUGCGUUCCAAGUUUUUAUGAAAAAAAUCGUUUCUUCUAGGAAUUUGAGGUUGUUUUUCAACGUUUUCCAAGCAUGUGAAGUGAAUUUUUAUGCACUCUAAGUUCCUGGAAGAAUAUUUGUUUCUUCCAGGCCCUUGGGUCAAUUUUUUAACAUUUCCGGGCAGUUAAAGGAAGUUUAGAUAUGGUCCAAGGUUCUAUAGAAAUGUUUCGUGGCUUCCAGAUUAUCGGAGUAACUUUUAGAAGUUUCUCCAGACAAUUAAAGUAAUUGACGAAAAGUCACGGUCUCACAACAUGUAAUAAACGGGCUACGCGUGUUUCGCUCUAGUUAGAGCAUCAUCAGGCCUUUAGAAGCUAUCCACACACUUCACAGUAUAUAAACAAAAAAAGUUUUUAUGUGGUCCAAGUUUCUAUAGAAAUGUUUCGUUGCUUGCAGGUUAUCGAUUACUUUGAAAACUUACGCCAGACAAUUAAAGUGAGUUUCCAUAAGUUUCAAGGUUUUUUUCAAAAAAUUCGUUUCUUCCGGAAAUUUGAGGUUAAUUUUCAAGUCUUUCGUGAAUUCUCCAAGUUUCUGGAAGAAUGUUUUAUUUCUUCCAGGCAUUUGAGUCAAUAUUUCAAUAUUUCCAGGCAGUUAAAGGUUGUGUGUGCGCCAAGUUUCUAAAGAAACGUUUCGUUGCUUCCAGGUAGUCAGAGUCACUUUUCCAAGUUUCUCCAUUAUAAUAAAUUGAGUUUCUAUAUGUUUCAAGAUCCUGUAAUAAUUGUUCAUUUUUUCCAGGCAGUUGAGAUCACUUUUCAACAUUUCCAUACAGUUAAAGCGACUUUUGAGGUGCUCGAAAAAUUCGUUUGUUUCAAGAAUUUGAGGUUAGUUUGCCUGCAGGUGAAUUGAGUUUUCAUGUACUCCAAGUUCCUGUAAGAAUGUUUUGUUUCUUUCAGACGAUUGUAGUCACUUUUCCAGGUUCUACCAAACUGUUCUACAGCUCCUCAAAAGUAUUCAUUUCUUCUAGGCACUAGCGAGAAUACUUCAACAUUUUUAGGCAGUAAAGAAAGUUUAUAUGUGCUCCAAGUUUCUACAGAAAUGUUUCGUGGCUUCCACAUUGUCGGAGUCACUUUUCCAAGUUUUUCCAUCUAAUUAAAUUGAGUUUUUAUAUGUUUCAAGGUCCUGGAAUAAUUAUUGAUUUUUUCCAGGCAGUAGAGAUCACUUUUUAACAUGUCAAGGCAGUUAAAGCGACUUUUCAGUUUCUCGAAGUUUUUGGAGAAAAAUUCGUUUCUUCCAGAAAUUUGAGGUUAAUUUUCAAGUCUUUCCAAGCAAGUGAAGUGAAUUUUCGUGUACUCCCAAGUUUCUGGAAAAAUAUUUUGUUUCUUCCAGGCAUUUGAGCCAAUGUUUCAACAGUUCCAGGCAGUUAAAGCGUCUUUUGAGGUGCUCGAAAAAUUCGUUUAUUUCAGGAAUUUGAGGUUAGUUUGCCUGCAGGUGAAUUGAGUUUUCAUGUACUCCAAGUUCCUGUAAAAAUGUUUUGUUUCUUUCAGACGAUUGAAAUCACUUUUCCAGGUUCUACCAAAAUAUUCUGCAGCUCCUCAAAAAUAUUCAUUUGUUCUAGGCACUAACGAGAAUACUUCAACAUUUCCAGGCAGUUAAAGAACGUUUAUAUGUGCUCCAAGUUUCUAUAGAAAUGUUUCGUUGCUUCCAGGUGGUCAGUGUGACUUUUCCAAGUUUCUCCAUUCAAUUAAAUGAAACAAAUCGUUUCUUCUUGGAAUUUGAGGUUAGUUUUCAAGUUUUUCCAAGCAGGUGAAGUGAGUUUUUAUGUAUUCCAAGUUCCUGGAAGACUUUUUUUCUUUUUUUCCAGGCGAUUAAGUCACUUUUCCAAGUUCUACAGCUCCUCAAAAAUAUUUAUUUGUUCCAGGCACUAGCGACAAUACUUCAACAUUUCCAGGCAGUUAAAGAAAGUUUAUAUGUGCUCCAAGUUUCUAUAGAAAUGUUUCGUUGCUUUCAGGUGGUCAGAGUCACUUUUUCAAGUUUCUCCAUUCAAUUAAAUUGAGUUUGCGUAUGUUUCCAACAUCCUGGAAUAAUUAUUCCAAGCAGUUGAGGUCACUUUUCAAUAUGUCCAGGCAGUUGAAGCGACUUUUCUCGUGCGUUCCAAGUUUUUAUGAAACAAAUCGUUUCUUCUAGGAAUUUGAGGUAAUUUUUCAACGUUUUCCAAGCAUGUGAAGUAAGUUUUUAUGCACUCCAAGUUCCUGGAAGAAUAUUUGUUUCUUCCAGGCACUUGGGUCAUUUUUUUAACAUUUCCAGGCAGUUAAAGGAAGUUUAGAUGUGCUCCAAGUUUCUAUAGAAUUGUUUCGUGGCUUCCAGAUUAUCGGAGUAACUUUUAGAAGUUUCUCCAGACAAUUAAAGUAAUUGACGAAAAGUCACGGUCUCACAACAUGUAAUAAACGGGCUACGCGUGUUUCGCUCUAGUUAGAGCAUCAUCAGGCCUUUAGAAGCCAUCCACACACUUCACAGUAUAUAAACAAAAAAAGUUUUUAUGUGGUCCAAGUUUCUAUAGAAAUGUUUCGUUGCUUGCAGGUUAUCGAUUACUUUGAAAACUUACGCCAGACAAUUAAAGUGAGUUUCCAUAAGUUUCAAGGUUUUUUUCAAAAAAUUCGUUUCUUCCGGAAAUUUGAGGUUAAUUUUCAAGUCUUUCGUGAAUUCUCCAAGUUUCUGGAAGAAUGUUUUAUUUCUUCCAGGCAUUUGAAUAUUUCCAGGAAGUUAAAGGUUGUGUGUGCGCCAAGUUUCUAAAGAAACGUUUCGUUGCUUCCAGGUAGUCAGAGUCACUUUUCCAAGUUUCUCCAUUAUAAUAAAUUGGGUUUCUAUAUGUUUCAAGAUCCUGUAAUAAUUGUUCAUUUUUUCCAGGCAGUUGAGAUCACUUUUCAACAUUUCCAUACAGUCAAAGCGACUUUUGAGGUGCUCGAAAAAUUCGUUUGUUUCAGGAAUUUGAGGUUAGUUUGCCUGCAGGUGAAUUAAGUUUUCAUGUACUCCAAGUUCCUGUAAGAAUGUUUUGUUUUUUUCAGACGAUUGGAGUCACUUUUCCAGGUUCUACCAAACUGUUCUACAGCUCCUCAAAAAUAUUCAUUUGUUCCAGGCACUAGCGACAAUACUUCAACAUUUCCAGGCAGUUAAAGAACGUUUAUAUGUGCUCCAAGUUUCUAAAGAAACGUUUCGUUGCUUCCACAUUGUCGGAGUCACUUUUCCAAGUUUUUCCAUCUAAUUAAAUUGAGUUUUUAUAUGUUUCAAGGUCCUGGAAUAAUUAUUGAUUUUUUCCAGGCAGUAGAGAUCACUUUUUAACAUGUCAAGGCAGUUAAAGCGACUUUUCAGUUUCUCGAAGUUUUUGGAGAAAAAUUCGUUUCUUCCAGAAAUUUGAGGUUAAUUUUCAAGUCUUUCCAAGCAAGUGAAGUAAAUUUUCGUGUACUCCAAAUUCCUGGAAGAAUGUUUUGUUUGUUCCAGGCACUGGGGUCAAUUUUUCAAUAUUUCCAGGAAGUUAAAGGUUGUGUGUGCGCCAAGUUUCUAAAGAAACGUUUCGUUGCUUCCAGGUAGUCAGAGUCACUUUUCCAAGUUUCUCCAUUAUAAUAAAUUGAGUUUCUAUAUGUUUCAAGAUCCUGUAAUAGUUGUUCAUUUUUUCCAGGCAGUAGAGAUCACUUUUUAACAUGUCAAGGCAGUUAAAGCGACUUUUCAGUUUCUCGAAGUUUUUGGAGAAAAAUUCGUUUCUUCCAGAAAUUUGAGGUUAAUUUUCAAGUCUUUCCAAGCAAGUGAAGUAAAUUUUCGUGUACUCCUAAGUUUCUGGAAGAAUAUUUUGUUUCUUCCAGGCAUUUGAGUCAAUGUUUCAACAGUUCCAGGCAGUUAAAGCGUCUUUUGAGGUGCUCGAAAAAUUCGUUUGUUUCGUAGGAAUUUGACGUUAGUUUGCCUGCAGGUGAAUUGAGUUUUUAUGUACUCCAAGUUCCUGUAAAAAUGUUUUGUUUCUUUCAGACGAUUGAGGCACUUUUCCAGGUUCUACCAAACUGUUCUACAGCUCCUCAAAAAUAUUCAUUUGUUCCAGGCACUAGCGACAAUACUUCAACAUUUCCAGGCAGUUAAAGAAAGUUUAUAUGCGCUCCAAGUUUCUAUAGAAAUGUUUCGUUGCUUCCAGGUGGUCAGUGUGACUUUUCCAAGUUUCUCCAUUCAAUUAAAUUGAGUUUCCAUAUGUUUCCAACAUCCUGGAAUAAUUAUUCCAGGCAGUUGAGGUCAUUUUUCAAUAUGUCCAGGCAGUUGAAGCGAUUCUUCUCGUGCGUUCCAAGUUUUUAUGAAACAAAUCGUUUUUUCUAGGAAUUUGAGGUUAAUUUUCAAGUCUUUCCAAGCAAGUGAAGUCAAUUUUCGUGUACUCCAAAUUCCUGGAAGAAUGUUUUGUUUGUUCCAGGCACUGGGGUCAAUUUUUCAAUAUUUCCAGGAAGUUAAAGGUUGUGUGUGCGCCAAGUUUCUAAAGAAACGUUUCGUUGCUUCCAGGUAGUCAGAGUCACUUUUCCAAGUUUCUCCAUUAUAAUAAAUUGAGUUUCUAUAUGUUUCAAGAUCCUGUAAUAGUUGUUCAUUUUUUCCAGGCAGUUGAGAUCACUUUUCAACAUUUCCAUACAGUCAAAGCGACUUUUGAGGUGCUCGAAAAAUUCGUUUGUUUCAAGAAUUUGAGGUUAGUUUGCCUGCAGGUGAAUUGAGUUUUCAUGUACUCCAAGUUCCUGUAAAAAUGUUUUGUUUCUUUCAGACGAUUGUAGUCACUUUUCCAGGUUCUACCAAACUGUUCUACAGCUCCUCAAAAAUAUUCAUUUGUUCUAGGUACUAGCGACAAUACUUCAACAUUUCUAGGCAGUUAAAGAACGUUUAUGUGUGCUCCAAGUUUCUAUAGAAAUGUUUCGUUGCUUCCAGGUGGUCAGUGUGACUUUUCCAAGUUUCUCCAUUCAAUUAAAUUGAGUUUCCAUAUGUUUCCAACAUCCUGGAAUAAUUAUUCCAGGCAGUUGAGGUCAUUUUUCAAUAUGUCCAGGCAGUUGAAGCGAUUCUUCUCGUGCGUUCUAAGUUUUUAUGAAAAAAAUCGUUUCUUCUAGGAAUUUGAGGUUAGUUUUCAAGUUUUUCCAAGCAGGUGAAGUGAGUUUUUAUGUAUUCCAAGUUCCUGGAAGACUUUUUUUCUUUUUUUCCAGGCGAUUAAGUCACUUUUUCAAGUUUUACCCAAGAGUUCUAGAGCUCCUUAAAAAUAUUGAUUAUUUCUAGACAUUAGCCACAAUACUUUAACACUUCCACGCAGUUUAUAUGUGCUCCAAGUUUUUCCAUCUAAAUUAAUUGAGUUUCCACAUGUUUCAAGAUCCUGGAAUAAUUAUUGAUUUUUUCCAGGCAGUAGAGGUCACUUUUAACAUUCCAAGGCAGUUAAAGCCACUUUUCAGUUUCUCGAAGUUUUUGGAAAAAAACUCGUUUCUUUCAGAAAUUUGACGUUAGUUUUCAAGUUUUUUCAAUGAAGUGUAGUGAAUUUUCAUAUACUCCAAAUUCCUGAAAGAAUGUUUGGUUUGUUCCAGGCACUUGGGUCAAGUUUUUCAGGCAGUUAAAGAUAGCUCACAUGUGCUUCAAGUUUCUAUAGAAAUGUUUCGUGGCUUCCAGGUUGUCGGGGUAACUUUUCCAAGUUUUUCCUGACAAUUAAAUUGGGUUUCCGUAUGUAUAUGUACAUCCUGGAAUAAUUGUUAAUUUUUUCAAGGUAUUUGAGGUCACUUUUCCACAUUUUCAGUCAGUUAAAGCGGCUUUUCGUGCGUUCCAAGUUUUUUGGAAAAAAAUCGUUUCUUCCAGGAAUUUGAGGUUAAUUUUUAACUUUUUCCAAGCAGGUGAAGUGAUUUUUCAUGCACUUCAAGUUUCUGGAAGAAUGUUUUCUUUCUUCCAAGCACUCAAGUCAAUUUUUCAACAUUUCAAGGCACUUAAAGCAAGCUUAUACGUGCUCCAAGUUUCUAUACAAAUUGUCAAGUUUUUCAUAUCAAGUAAAGUGAAUUGUUAAGUACUUCAAGUUCUUGGAAGAAUAUUUUGUUUCUUCCAGGCACUUGGGUCAAUUUUUUAACAUUUCCAGACAGUUAAAGAAAGUUUAUACGUUUCGUUGCUUACCGUUUAUCAUAGUAACUUUUCAAAGUUUCUUCAAGCAAUUAAAGUGAGUUUGCAUAUGUUUUAAGAUCCUGGAAUAAUUAUUUAUUUCUUCCAGGCAGUUGAGGUCACUUUUCAACAUUUUCAGGCGGUUGAAGCGACUUUCCAGUUUCUCGAAGUUUUUGGAAAAAAAUCGUUUCUCCAGAAAAUUGAGGUGAAGUUUUUCCAAGCAGGUGAAGUGAGUUGUCAUGUAGUUCCUGGAAGAAUAUUCUCUUAUGGAAAAAUUAAAACAGUUCUUCCCUCUAAUUCUAGGCAGUGGAAACUAUUAAUUAGGCAGUUUUUUUUUAAUUUCCAGGCAGUGAGGCCAUUUCAAGCUCCUUAUUUAAUUAAUUUUUUCCUUCCAGGCACUUAAAAUAGUCACUUACCCCCAACCUUGAAAUGAAUUUGUGAUUUUUUUUUUCCAUACAGCAAUGAAAGAAUCGAGCAUUCCUUGCCAAAUAUCUUUGCUGAAACGCGAUUUAUAAAAAAAAAAAAAUUGUUAAUUUUAAUAUAAUAAUUUGUAUAUUUAUAUACUUAGUUAGGUUGUUUUUGAAUUAGAAUAAUUAUUACCCGUAUUUUUACAAUGCAUUUAUGUGUUUUUAAAUCAUACUUCUAGUUAUAUAUUAUAAACAAUUGUAAAUAUUCAAAAAAAAAAACAUGAUUGCUGAGUUAGUUUUAAAUAUCAAUCAAAGUGCUUUAAUUGUUAAGUAGGCUACAAAGUAGUAUUGUUAGUGUUUUAUUAUUAUUAUUAUUAUUACUGUGGUGUCAAAGUUCAUUUUUUUGAUUACGCGUGCCAUCGUUGUGACGUCAGAAGUUUAAAAAAAAAAAAAUGAAUUUCGACCAAUGGGAGUCGAGCCACCACCAUUGACUGUUCGAUGGUGUGCGCAGACUCGUCGAAAACUAACGGAUUUAUUUGCGCAGGUGCGUCGGCGGUUGCCAAGCAACGCCGUCUCGGACAAAUCAGAGAGCAUCCGUACCAAAGAGCAGGCGCGCUCUCUUAAACUCAUGCUCUUUUUAAAAAAAAAGGUUAGUUUUUAUUAUUUCUUCUUUUUUUUUUAUUUUUGUUGUUGUUUUUUGUAGGUAUUUUAUAAUUUUUUUUCAGUAUUUUUUUGACGGGCUUUUUUUUUUUAAAUUGUUUUGACACAGGGGUCUGUCGGAUUUUUUUUUCUUUAAUUGAAAGGCAGCUUAAAAGGCAAAGGUGACUUUUUUUUGACAGGUGACAGCGCAUAACCUUGGUAAUCAUUUUAACUUGGUGUCAAAUUCAAACUCAAUUAUUAAUUAUAUUACAAUACAGUACAUCACAAAAGUUAUGUCUAAAUUCAUUUAAAAUUCAGGGGUGUGUUCGAAAAGAAAACGCUCGGACCCGUCGAUUUUUAUUCCAAGUUGCGCAUUUUUGUACGUGAAAUUUGUACGUACAGGGUUGCUCAAAAAUACAUUAACGACCAUCAACUUCAUUUUUUCAAAUGAAAGCACCUUUUUUUUAUUUCAUCUUUGAAUUUCGCGUGAAAUCUACGUAUGUUUCAUGCAUCAUGUCCUACACCUAAAGUCAACAGUUAUCGAAAAAAUACGAUUCAUGUAACAAAUAAAAAAAGAACAAAAAUUAAGUUAAAUGGUUGCCAUUCACGGCUUGAUAAUAUCCAAGGCGAUCAAUAAAGUCUCGUUGCACACUUUUAAUCAUUUCCGGAGUUACGGGGCGCGCACUUCUCUGGGGAUUCUCUCUUUCAAGUCGUCUAGAUUAUUUGGCCUAUUAACAAAUACCUUCGACUUGAGCAUCUUUCUUUUAAAAGGAAAUAAUUAGAAAAUUACUUCUUCUGCCUGAAAUAAAGACAUACUUAGGCAAACUGCCUGGAAAAAUCCAGGAAAUUGCUGUAAUUAAUUUGAGAGGCCUGGAAAAAAAUUUAAUUAAUUUUCCAGUCAGUUGAACACCUUGCAUAUGUGAGCAUCUUUCUUUUAAAAAGGAAAUAAUUAGAAAAUGACUUCUUCUGCCUGGAAGAAAGACAUACUUAGGCAAACUGCCUGGAAAAAUCCAGGAAAUUGCUGUAAUUAAUUUGAGAGGCCUGGAAAAAAAUUUAAUUAAUUUUCCAGUCAGUUGAACACCUUUCGUACAAGAACAUCUUGUAUUUCGAAGGAAAUAAUUAGAAAAUUAUUUUUUCUGCCUGAAAGAAAGACAUACUUAGGCAAAUUGCCUGGAAAAAUCCAGAACAUUGCUAUAAUUAAUUUGAAAGGCCUGAAAAAAAUUCUAAUUAAUUUUCCAGGCAGUUAAAGCUUUUUCAUACAUAAACAUCUUGUUUUUAGAAAGUAAAUAAUAAAAAAAAUUAAUUCUUCUGUCUGGAAGAAAGAAAUGCUUAUGCAAACUGCCUGGAAAAUUCCAGAAAAGUGCUAUAAUUAAUUUGAGAGGCCUGGAAAAAAAUGUAAUUCAUUUUCCAAGCAGUUGAGGACCUUGCAUAUGUGAGCAUCUUUCUUUUAAAAGGAAAUAAUUAGAAAAUGACUUCUUCUGCCUGGAAGAAAGACAUACUUAGGCAAACUGCCUGGAAAAAUCCAGGAAAUUGCUGUAAUUAAUUUGAGAGGCCUGGAAAAAAAUUUAAUUAAUUUUCCAGUCAGUUGAACACCUUUCGUAUAAGAACUGUCUUGUAUUUCGAAGGAAAUAAUUAGAAAAUUAUUUUUUCUGCCUGAAAGAAAGACAUACUUAGGCAAAUUGCCUGGAAAAAUCCAGAACACUGCUAUAAUUAAUUUGAAAGGCCUGAAAAAAAUUUUAAUUAAUUUUCCAGGCAGUUAAAGCUUUUUCAUACAUAAACAUCUUGUUUUUAGAAAGUAAAUAAUAAAAAAAAUUAAUUCUUCUGUCUGGAAGAAAGAAAUGCUUAUGCAAACUGCCUGGAAAAUUCCAGAAAAGUGCUAUAAUUAAUUUGAGAGGCCUGGAAAAAAAUGUAAUUCAUUUUCCAAGCAGUUGAGGACCUUGCAUAUGUGAGCAUCUUUCUUUUAAAAGGAAAUAAUUAGAAAAUGACUUCUUCUGCCUGGAAGAAAGACAUACUUAGGCAAACUGCCUGGAAAAAUCCAGGAAAUUGCUGUAAUUAAUUUGAGAGGCCUGGAAAAAAAUUUAAUUAAUUUUCCAGUCAGUUGAACACCUUUCGUAUAAGAACUGUCUUGUAUUUCGAAGGAAAUAAUUAGAAAAUUAUUUUUUCUGCCUGAAAGAAAGACAUACUUAGGCAAAUUGCCUGGAAAAAUCCAGAACACUGCUAUAAUUAAUUUGAAAGGCCUGAAAAAAAUUUUAAUUAAUUUUCCAGGCAGUUAAAGCUUUUUCAUACAUAAACAUCUUGUUUUUAGAAAGUAAAUAAUAAAAAAAUUAAUUCUUCUGUCUGAAAGAAAGAAAUGCUUAUGCAAACUGCCUGGAAAAUUCCAGAAAAGUGCUAUAAAUAAUUUGAGAGGCCUGGAAAAAAAUUUAAUUCAUUUUCCAAGCAGUUGAGGACCUUGCAUAUGUGAGCAUCUUUCUUUUAAAAGGAAAUAAUUAGAAAAUGACUUCUUCUGCCUGGAAGAAAGACAUACAUAGGCAAAUUGCUUGCAAAAAUCCAGGAAAUUGCUAUAAUUAAUUUGAGAGGCCUGGAAAAAAAUUUAUUUAAUUUUCCUGGCAGUUAAAGACUUCAUACGUGAAUCUCUUGCUCUUCAAUGAAAAUAAUUAGAAAAUUACUUCUAAUGCCUUGACGAGAAAAAUACUCAGGCAAAUUACCUGGAAAAAUCCAGAAAACUGUUAUAUUUAAUUUGAGAUGCUUAGAAAACUAAUUUUCCAGGCAGUUGAAGAUCUUUUCUGCGUGAACAUCUUGAGCUUCAGAGAAAAUAAUUAGAAAAUUACUUUUAAUGCCUGGACGAGAAAAAUAGUCAGGCAGAUUGCCUGGAAAAAUGCAGAUAGUGCUAUAAUUAAUUUGAGAGGCCUGGAAAAAAAUUUUAUUAAUUUUCCAGGCAGUUAAAGACCCUGCAUGUGCGAGCAUAUUUUUUUCAAAGAAAAAUUAUUAGAAAAUUUCUUCUUCUGCCUGGAGGAAAGAAAUACUUUGGAAAAUUGCCUGGAAAAAUCCAGAAAACUGCUAUAAUUAAUUUGAAAGGCCUGAAAAAAAUUUUAAUUAAUUUUCCAGAUAGUUAAAGCUUUUUUAUACGUGAACAUCUUGUUUUUCGAAGGAAAUAAUUAGAAAAUUUCGUUUAAUGCCUGGAAGAAAGAAAAAAUUAGGAAAAUUGCCUGAAAAAAUCCAGAAAAGUGGUUAAUUUAAUUUGAAAAGCCUAAAAAAAAUUAAACUAAUUUUCCAGGCACUUAAAGCUUUUUCAUAUAUGAAAAUCUUGUUUUUAGAAAGUAAAUAAUUAGAAAAUUAAUUCUUCUGUCUGGAAGAAAGAAAUGCUUAUGCAAAUUGCCUGGAAAAUUCCAGAAAAGUGCUCCAUUUAAUUUGAGAGACCUAGAAAAAAAUGUAAUUAUUUUUCCAGGCAGUUAAAGACCUUUCAUACGUGACCAUCUUAUUUUUCAUAGGAAUCAAUAAUGUAGAAAAUUACUUCUUCUGCUUGGAAGAAAGACAUACUUAGGCAAAUAGCUUGGACAAAUCCAGAAAAUUGCUAUAUUUAAUUUGAGAGGCCUAAAAAAAAUUAAACUAAUUUUCCAGGCAUCAGUUGAAGAUCUUUUAUAGGUACGUGAACAUUUUGUUUAUCGAAGGAAAUAAUUAGAAAAUUAAUUCUUUUGUCUGGAAGAAAGAAGUGCUUAUGCAAAUUGCCUGGAAAAAUCCAUAAAACUGCCAUAAUUAAUUUAAAAGGCCUGGAAAAAAAAUUUAAUUAAUUUUCCAGGCAGUUAAAGCUCUUUCAUACGUGAACAUCUUGUUUUUCAAAGGAAAUAAUUAGGAAAUUUCUUUUAAUGCCUGGAAGAAAGAAAAAAUUAGGAAAAUUGCCUGAAAAAUUCCAGAAAAGUGCUCCAUUUAAUUUGAGAGACCUAGAAAAAAAUUUAAUUAAUUUUCCAGGCAGUUAAAGACUUUUCAUAGAUGAAGAUCUUGCUUUUUAAAGAAUAUUACUGGAAAAUUACUUUUAAUGCCUUAAAAAAAGAAAUAAUUAGGCAAACUGCCGGGAAAAAUCCAGAAAACUGGUAUAUUUAAUUUAACCUGCCUAAAAAAAAAAUUGAUGUUCAACUGCCUAGAAAUUGGAAAAAACACAACGAAUUCAUCCAAAAAAAAAACAGCUUUUUUUAAUUAUUCUUCAUUAUCAAAAAACACUUGCCGAUUUUCUUCACCUUAAAGCCUUUGCCUUUAAAAAAAAAAUAAAGAAAAAAAGGGCCUCCUCAGUAUAAUAUUAGGGUUACCAAUUUUUUUAGUUUUUUUUCCCUUGAAAAAAAAGAAACUAAAAGUAGCGUAGAACGAGUACCUCAAUAAAGCAUCACACACCUUUGUGAUACCUAGUCCAGAUUUUUAUACGUAGUGUAUUUAUGUUUUUAUUUUUUACUGCAACAUAGACUAGACCCGCGACCGAAAAACGUCUAAAAACAAACAAAAAAAACCUCCCUCUUCUAGUCUUUUAAUUUUCUAGUCUAAAACCAUCGGUAGAACCGACUUUUGGGCCCUAAUUUUCUGAACAAAAAACGCCUUUUUUCUCUCGAAUUCAUAUUAUUUACUCUACAAAAUAGCCUUUAAGUAAUUUAAAUCGUUUAUAUAUUAUUAUUAUAUUUGUAUAUGUUGUUGACUUGCGCCAAUGUGGAAAAUAUAUUUAUACGAAAAACAUA